GCAAUCCUCUUGCCUCAGCCUCCCGAGUGCUGGGAUAACAGGUGUGUGCCACCACACCUGGGCCAGAAAAGUUUUUAUCAGUACCUACAAUCAACCUUUCAUUUCCAUGGUUUCCACAGCUGUAGAAUCAACUGGCCCUAAAUGGAAAAUAUGUGAGGGGAAAAAUCUGCAUCUGUACCGAACAAGGAGAGAGAUUUUUUCUUGUCAUGACUCCCUAAACAAUACAGUGUAACAGCUAUUUACAUACAUUUGCAUUGUGCCAAGUAUUAUAAGUAAUUUAGAGAUGAUGUAAAUGAGAGGCUGUGUGAAAGUUAGACACAAACACCAUUUUUUUGCAAGGGGCUUGAGCGUCUGCAGAUACUGGUGUCCAUGGGGAGAGGUCUGGAGCCAAUCUCCCAUAGAUCUAAGGGACAACUGUUUUCUCCCGCCUGUUAACAAUGAUUCUGUGCUUGUUGGGGGCGGCGGGGAUGCUCUUGUUCUAGGAUUCACAUGUGGAAUUAUUUGGGGUUAGGACGUCACAGGUCUACCACUUUCAGAUGAUUUAAUGGAAAGCACACGCCCGUUCCCCUUCCUUGCCCAGUCUCCUCCUCUUCAUCCCACGUCCACACACCAGUCCUCGAAGGCCAGGCUCAGACAUCUUCUCUUCCACGAAGUCACUGCUUCGCAAGAUACCUGAUUUCACAAAAGAUGCUCCCGUUCCCCUCCCACACCCACAAUCCCCACUUCUUCACCUCGCUGUGCAGCUGUUUCAGAGCAGCUUUCAGGGUCUUCCCUCCGGGCUGCCUGCUGCUGCGGAUGCGUGCACCCCACCGGCACACGGUACACACUGAACAAUCAAAUGCAGGCAGACGAAGGGGUCCACAAGGGGAACGCCUCAGAGAAGCGAGUAGCUGGCAAGGGGCGUGCUCCGCGGGUUUGACUGACCCGCCCUGAGCGGGGAUGGAGACAAUGUCACCCAUCCUGUGUGGGUAUUGUGACGACUUAGGUGGAGACACAGGGUGAAAGGGAUGAACACAGUGCUAGAUGCUGGCUCUUUGAUGCUUUAAGGGAGGGGAAAAGAGCAGCAGUCACGCCACGCAGGCCACUGCCCACUCAGACGAUUGCGAUGCCCUCCUUUCACCCCUUCCUGCUGCACUGCUGCUCUGAAAAGCUGUGAAUGACCGCGCGAGGAAGGAGGGGAGGGCAGCAGGAAGAGCGAGCCAAGCCUGGGUGAAUUCACAGGCUGCGGAAGGGGUUCAAAGAUCCACUUAAGUCCUUGGCAAAAGUACCUUGGGAAGCAGGAAAAGUCACGCUCCUCUGGAGAACACUGAGUGAGCGGGCUGAAGGUCGGGGCGGGGGAUGAUCUGAGAAGGAUCUGUGGAGGGAAAAAACCCCAAACGGCACAGGAGCCCAGUCCUUUUCUUCCCUAACAGGACCUGCUACUGGAUCGAGACCUGACUGCACUCCGCUUAAAAGCCGGUUCUCAGGAGAGGAGACUGGUGAGGACAAAACCAAUCUUCCACAGCUGGCCCUGAGAUGGAGGGAUUAUCCUUCAAGCUCCACCUUGGGGCGCUCACAGGAAGCCUGCUACCUGAAGAUGUUCCUUGUCAUCUAGGUGUUGAGACCCAAGGCAGAUGCAAUGUGUAGCACAAAAGGUGAAGACGUCCAGUUUGCCUCUGCCCUGGACUGGUAGGAACGCGGGUCACUGCAAAGCGGGGAGGACAAGCCAGACCUCCAGGCACUGUGGAACCACUGAGAGGCUUUGAGCUGCGGAGCGACAGAACAGCAAGAAUCUGUGCAGCGCUCAUCAGACACCACAUCCUGUGCUAACUGCAUCACCAAGAUUAACUUACUCACGUCCCUGUUGUCACAGAUGCAGAAACAGCAACUUGGAGAAGGUAAACGACUUCUCUAAUGACACACAGUUGAGGGACAGAACUGAAAGUCCAACCCAGGCCUUCACUCUCGCUCUUUGACACAGACUGUGGUAAAGGGAUAUGAACAGCUAUGCUGCAUGUGGACUGACCAGCAAGAGCUGUCAACACCCUCAAAGCAGGGUGGAGGCGACAAUCACCCAGUUACCUGGGCAGGGAAAGUGCCCUCAGGUCCUGAUCUCCAGGCGUGGAGUGCGGAAUGACUCAUUAGGCCUUCCCUGGUCAGGCUCUCCUCUGACCCCACCAGCCAGCUCAUUCAUUAAGAGAAAGACCAUGCUUCCAUCAAGCACUUUUAGAAGCACUUAUAUGCCUGGUCUUGCUGACUUUCUGAAUCAAAAGUGGCCCAGAGAGACUGCGCCUUUAAUGUGCUUGGCAGACAGCCAGAAUGGCUCCCUCACAUGCUAAGUCGGACUGUCCCUGGAAGGACUGCUAGAUGUAGUUUUUCUUCUGUGAUUGGUGUUGUGAGGCCACUUUCAUCAUUUCAUCACCCUAGACAAUCAUGGAAGAGAAGGUAAGGACAGCCCACCAGCCUGGGACCACUCUUCCUGCCUGCCCCUCUCCGGUGCUUGGCUCUAGUUUCUUCCAAACCCUUGGAACUCCUGUGACGUGUUGGGACCUCAGGACAAAGUGAGCAGGACACCGCCCUUCAUCCCGCAUAGAUGUGAGCUGCCGCUUUCCUUGUGCACCUCACGGGGAGGCACACAUUCAUUUAAUUUAUAUGAUGCUGGGUAGACUUCCACAAAGGCCAUACAGGGGCAAUCUUAUUUCACCAUGCUCUCUUUCUAAACAUUUAGUUCCUGGCAGAGAAAAAACAUUUGGAGGGAAAGAAAUUCGACAAAAAUAAUACCUAAGAUUUAACAUGAACCAUCGUGGGCACCCAAGGGACAAACAGUCACAUUUGAAACUCACAGCCAAGCCAGCAGCUGCAAGAAGUUGAUAAGGAUGCAAAAAAUAGGGCUGAGGAGCAGAGGAAAGCCAUGUUAAACCCUCCUGGACUUCCAGAAAGGGAAGCGCUGCCUUUGCUUUUCACCUUCGGCCUGGUUCCUCUGCAUGUUCUAUGAAUUUUAAAGAAUCACAGGUGGAUUCUGAUUAACCUCGCAUCACGCUGUGGCCUCACUGACUCUGACACUCUUCUCAAUUUUGCACAUGUGGUGAGCUCCUCCCAGCAUCUGAGUGGAGUGGGGAACAGGGAUGGGGGUGCUGUUCAGUCCCCGAACAGCAGUGCCCAGCUCCUGACCUUACCUCACUCUGGGAAAAUGCCUGCUGGCCACUACAGGCCACAGUGUAUGACAUGGCUUGAGACCAGUAGAGCCCCGGGAGCCUAGAAGGACAUCCCAGUUCCUACCUCCCUUUUUAUCAGCCCGCUCUCCCCGAGUCCUCCCCACCACAAGGAGAAACAAAAGCCCUCGAGGUUAUAAACUCUAUGUUCUGAACCUGCCCUGCUGGCUGCAGAGAUGUCGCAGGUUCACAGAUCCAGAGGUAGCAGGGCCUCGCCAGUCAGAGCAGAGGUGUACAUUUUUUAUGAUACAUUUCAGCACACAGCGGCAAAGUGUCUUGGAGAAAUGGAUUUGGUUUGGUUUUGAACAGUUGUACAAAAGCAUCCUUCAGGCAGCGGGUGGGGCAUGAGAUAAAGGCUGCAAUUUGUGGACCUUGAGCCCAGCAGGCCAAGGCCAAGGACAGAACUGCAAGCCCCCACAGCACAGCUCACGGGGCCAGGGUCUGGUUAAGCGAGGGUGAGGAGGAUGCCGACUUCAGAAAAUGAAAACAGCCGUAUUGUCAACAUAAUUUACUACAGGUCUCUGAAGUGUAUAUAAAACGUUUUAGUGCAACAUCUUACAAAUAGUUUUUCCUUUAAAAAACAAAAACAACAACAGCUCUCUACACCAUGCAUGGGUGGUUUUCUCACCCGAUCUUCCUUUUUUCAACAAUUAACGCAGAGAAACCAUUGUUUGAGAAGAAUAUGAAAACUUGCUACAGGAACACCCUGGUCAAAGAGGAUGUGGUCAUAGCCAUGUCCUAGGAUGUGCCUAGCACAGUGUAGAUUUUCAUAAACGCAAUAUUGUAGACAGUAAGUCAAGAGUAUCCGGCACUUUUCCUCUCUUGAAUUCAAAGACUAAAGCUCCAGUAGACCAUAUGCAAUGAGGUCUCACAGCCACUGGAGGGCACCAUUACUAUUCAUCCACAUUUCCAUAGAAAUGGCCAAAGAAAGAGGGUCCUGGGGUUUUUCAUACAAAGCUCAAAAAGCUCAGCCUUUGAUAGUGUCCCCCAGCCGGACAGAAAAUACACAGAAAAAGCAAUUAUUAAAAUACUGGCUUCAGUUUCUUUUUUCUUUUCAAAUCUCCUGCAACUGCUUCACAUAUUUAAUUACGUGCAGCACCUACUUUUCUACUGCUACGAACCAAUUCAAACUGAAAUCUUAGUCCCAGCCAGCCCUCUGGCAUCCUUCCAUUCAGACAGAGCACAAGUCAGUCAUCUUCUCUUGUUGACUCAGCCUAAAAAUCAGGAGUCGGCAAAUUCCCAUUGAAAACACACCUCCUGAAAUGAAGAAAUGGGGCAAAAGACAUUCUUUCUUCGUGACUGGGCCAACUCAGGACCUCUAACAUGUCGAUGCAGCAUAGGAAAUGAAAAUCUGCGAGGCAGGCACCGGAAGGAUUAAGGUGGCAGCGCCUGCACAGCGUCCAGGAGCGUCGGCAGGGAGCCUGUCUGGGUAAGCCUGUCAGAAGCGGCUGAGGAGUCACCUGGCCUCCCCUGAGCUGUGGCUCAGCGUAGCACCCACUGAGCGGCGUGCAGCCUGCACACCUGUCGACACCUGAUACACACCCACCCCAUGUGUCACAGGGGAUCCCACAGCCUCCUUUGGAGCCUGUUCAUCCUGGGACCCAGCUUCACAGCAAUGUCUCUUGUUAGCCCUGGUUCCAGAAUCCCUGGUAGCUCUUUCCAAAUCCCUCUUGGGAUUCAAGGUGUGGGUUCUAUGGGGACAGGAGAGAGAAUACUGGCCAGAAAAAUAUAAAGAAGCGAGGCCAUAAAACAUCUUCACAGAGUGACCAGAAGGAAGUACUUGCAACCAACGAUGCACCAGGAGAGCUAAGUAUCUGACUGAUAGUGUGGCCACUCUGGCCCUUGGACAUUAAAAUUAAAAACCAGAAUAAUAAUCAAAUAGCCUAAAACCAUAACAUGACCCAAGAGAGGGAAGGGGAAAGCCCACAGACAACAGUGUGCGCACUAUCUACUGAGACCAGGUGAAGGGACAGGCCCACAAGUUACAUCUGGACCUCCCCGGCAGAUACUCUUACGGCAGCAAGAUGCCAGGAGAGGUAAAUGGUGAACAAGGAAGACGUCAAUAUAUCUGCGGAAAAUCUCACUGGGAGGAACAAGAAAAGCAUCUUCACGCCUCCAAGAAGGCAGGUAUUCCUCCGGACCCUCCAACAUCAGGUGUUGGAAAGCCCUGCCCACCCCUCUCCGUCCUGCUGGCGGUGUGCGACCCAGCGCCCUGCACUGGGUAUCUAUCUACAGCACCCGCUUCCACUCCAUGCUCAGCCCAGCCUCACCGGACACUUCCUCUCAGAGUGUGACAAAGCACUCCCGCCAAAAGCCACCUGCUCACAGUCAUCAGCUGGAGACUGCACUUGCGGAGCAGACCAAGCCAGGGCCAGCCUCCUUGCACUUCCUUCUCUAAUCACUGACUGUGAUCAAUCAGAGAGUCAGUAGCUGCUAAAAGCAGCCAUCGCCCACUUUAGCUCGGGAAGUGUGUGCUGUCUGGAGCGUCUGACCCAUUGUCUAAGACAGUCUUCUUAUUUUUUUGGCAAAGAUUGGAUGAAGCCUUUUCCCCCUCCCUGACAGACAGGCUGGCCGGGCACCAUCUAUCUUAAUGAGGUUAUGCAGGAUUUCUCUUGCACAUAUGCAGUUCUUUGAAGCAAAAUUCAAUGCUUUCAUCUUGACUACAAAGUGUUCCAACAACUCCAGCUGAGGGAAAAGAUAAGAUACAAAUUGGGCCUACGCUACACACAUUUUUCAAGUCUUGUUAAGAAAGUAAAAAAUGUUUGGGUGCAUUUUGAUCCACGGGUGGCAUUUUCAAAUGUGCAAAUACAAAGUCUUGGAAGAGAUGCUUUGUUACUAUGAAGUCAUCCUUCCUCUUGCCAUCACUUGUAUGUAGGUGAAAUUCGUCCACAACAGGAUGGAAUCCUACAGGGGUAAACCACAGGGAUUUGGAAAGGGUACGUUACAAAGAG